rnacentral:rRNA from 1 species
AUACGGAGGGAGCAAGCGUUACUCGGAAUCACUGGGCGUAAAGGGCGCGUAGGCGGUUUGGUAAGUUGGAUGUGAAAGCCCCGGGCUUAACCUGGGAACUGCAUUUGAUACUGGCAGACUAGAGUAUGAUAGAGGGGGGUAGAAUUCCUGGUGUAGCGGUGAAAUGCGUAGAUAUCAGGAGGAAUACCAGUGGCGAAGGCGGCCCCCUGGAUCAAUACUGACGCUGAGGUACGAAAGCGUGGGGAGCGAACAGGAUUAGAAACCCUUGUAGUCC